rnacentral:rRNA from 1 species
GACGAACGCUGGCGGCGUGCCUAAUACAUGCAAGUAGAACGCUGAAGGAGGAGCUUGCUUCUCUGGAUGAGUUGCGAACGGGUGAGUAACGCGUAGGUAACCUGCCUGGUAGCGGGGGAUAACUAUUGGAAACGAUAGCUAAUACCGCAUAAUAGUAGAUGUUGCAUGACAUUUGCUUAAAAGGUGCAAUUGCAUCACUACCAGAUGGACCUGCGUUGUAUUAGCUAGUUGGUGAGGUAACGGCUCACCAAGGCGACGAUACAUAGCCGACCUGAGAGGGUGAUCGGCCACACUGGGACUGAGACACGGCCCAGACUCCUACGGGAGGCAGCAGUAGGGAAUCUUCGGCAAUGGACGGAAGUCUGACCGAGCAACGCCGCGUGAGUGAAGAAGGUUUUCGGAUCGUAAAGCUCUGUUGUAAGAGAAGAACGAGUGUGAGAGUGGAAAGUUCAC